rnacentral:rRNA from 1 species
GACACGCUGGCGGCGUGCCUAACACAUGCAAGUCGAGCGGAGAUAUAUUGAAGAUUUAUCGGAUAUAUAUCUUAGCGGCGGACGGGUGAGUAACGCGUGGGUAACCUGCCUUAUACAGGGGGAUAACACAGGGAAACUUGUGCUAAUACCGCAUAAUAUCAUUGUAUGGCAUCAUAUGAUGAUCAAAGGAGCAAUCCGGUAUAAGAUGGACCCGCGUCCAAUUAGCUAGUUGGUGGUGUAACGGACCACCAAGGCGACGAUUGGUAGCCGAACUGAGAGGUUGAUCGGCCACAUUGGGACUGAGACACGGCCCAGACUCCUACGGGAGGCAGCAGUGGGGAAUAUUGCACAAUGGGGGAAACCCUGAUGCAGCAACGCCGCGUGAAGGAUGAAGGUUUUCGGAUCGUAAACUUCUUUGAUGAGGGACGAAUAAUGACGGUACCUCAAGAACAAGCCACGGCUAACUACGUG